AUAUGUAACUGGCUGGAGAGAUACCAUCAUCAAGAAAAUGGUUUUCCCAGGGCAAGAUUUGUCUAUUAUACUUGGGAUGUGCUAACCACUGUGAUUUCCCCAAAUACAGAAAAUUCAACUGCCUAAUUUGUGGUAGUGGGGGACUUCAUUCUCUCUCUCUCCUG
ensembl:snRNA LOC120101381 U1 spliceosomal RNA